rnacentral:rRNA from 1 species
GACGAACGCUGGCGGCGUGCCUAAUACAUGCAAGUUGAGCGAUGAAGCUUGGUGCUUGCACCAAUUUGAAGAGCAGCGAACGGGUGAGUAACGCGUGGGGAAUCUGCCUUUGAGCGGGGGACAACAUUUGGAAACGAAUGCUAAUACCGCAUAACAACUUUAAACAUAAGUUUUAAGUUUGAAAGAUGCAAUUGCAUCACUCAAAGAUGAUCCCGCGUUGUAUUAGCUAGUUGGUGAGGUAAAGGCUCACCAAGGCGAUGAUACAUAGCCGACCUGAGAGGGUGAUCGGCCACAUUGGGACUGGGACACGGCCCAAACUCCUACGGGAGGCAGCAGUAGGGAAUCUUCGGCAAUGGACGAAAGUCUGACCGAGCAACGCCGCGUGAGUGAAGAAGGUUUUCGGAUCGUAAAACUCUGUUGGUAGAGAAGAACGUUGGUGAGAGUGGAAAGCGCAUCAAGUGACGGUAACUACCCAGAAAGGGACGGCUAACUACGUG